rnacentral:rRNA from 1 species
UUAUGUGAUCGUCUCUCGCAUAUCAAUAAGCGGAGGAAAAGAAACUAACAAGGAUUCCCCUAGUAACGGCGAGUGAAGCGGGAAGAGCUCAAAUUUGAAAUCUUAAAGGGUUUCCCUUUACGAAUUGUAGUUUAAAGAAGUGUUUUCUGUUGAGGUUUUGGUAAAAGUUCUUUGGAAUAGGACAUCAUAGAGGGUGAGAAUCCCGUAUUUGACCUUUACUUUCAACUUUGUGAUACACUUUCAAAGAGUCGGAUUGUUUGGGAAUGCAGUCCAAAAUGGGUGGUAAAUUUCAUCUAAAGCUAAAUAUUGGCGAGAGACCGAUAGCGAACAAGUACCGUGAGGGAAAGAUGAAAAGAACUUUGAAAAGAGAGUUAAACAGUACGUGAAAUUGUCAAAAGGGAAGCGUUUGACACCAGUGUUGUUUUUCUGAAAAUCAAUUAAAGAACUGUUUAUGCUAAGUUGUUUAGACUUUAUCAGCUAACUGUUUAGUUUUGAGCUUUUCUUUAAUGCACUUUUCAGUUAACAAGUCAACAUCAAUUUCUUUUGCUGUAAAAAAGCUUGAGGAAGGUGGCUUGAGAUUCGUCUUAAGUGUUUAUAGCCUCUUGCUUAUGCAGUCGGAGAGAUUGAGGUCUGCAGCGUAGAUCCUUCGGGGCUAAAUGCAUUUGUGCUAAGUUAUAGCAUUUUAUAGACAACUUGUUGACUAUGAUUUGUCUUGUAGCUUACUCGCUUAUGUUAUUUUACCUACGCUUAGGAUGUUGACACACGCGCGUGCUCG